UACGUAGGGUGCGAGCGUUAAUCGGAUUCACUGGGUUUAAAGGGUGCGUAGGUGGGCAGGUAAGUCAGUGGUGAAAUCCCCGAGCUUAACUUGGGAACUGCCAUUGAUACUAUUUGUCUUGAAUACUGUGGAGGUUAGCGGAAUAUGUCAUGUAGCGGUGAAAUGCUUAGAUAUGACAUAGAACAUCAAUUGCGAAGGCAGCUGGCUACACAAAUAUUGACACUGAUGCACGAAAGCGUGGGGAUCAAACAGG
rnacentral:rRNA from 1 species